rnacentral:rRNA from 1 species
AGAGUUUGAUCCUGGCUCAGGACGAACGCUGGCGGCGCGCCUAACACAUGCAAGUCGAACGAGCGAGAGAGAGCUUGCUUUCUCGAGCGAGUGGCGAACGGGUGAGUAACGCGUGAGGAACCUGCCUCAAAGAGGGGGACAACAGUUGGAAACGACUGCUAAUACCGCAUAAGCCCACAGCUCGGCAUCGAGCAGAGGGAAAAGGAGCAAUCCGCUUUGAGAUGGCCUCGCGUCCGAUUAGCUAGUUGGUGAGGUAAUGGCCCACCAAGGCGACGAUCGGUAGCCGGACUGAGAGGUUGAACGGCCACAUUGGGACUGAGACACGGCCCAGACUCCUACGGGAGGCAGCAGUGGGGAAUAUUGCACAAUGGGGGAAACCCUGAUGCAGCGACGCCGCGUGGAGGAAGAAGGUCUUCGGAUUGUAAACUCCUGUUGUUGAGGAAGAUAAUGACGGUACUCAACAAGGAAGUGACGGCUAACUACGUGCCAGCAGCCGCGGUAAAACGUAGGUCACAAGCGUUGUCCGGAAUUACUGGGUGUAAAGGGAGCGCAGGCGGGAAAGCAAGUUGGAAGUGAAAUCCAUGGGCUCAACCCAUGAACUGCUUUCAAAACUGUUUUUCUUGAGUAGUGCAGAGGUAGGCGGAAUUCCCGGUGUAGCGGUGGAAUGCGUAGAUAUCGGGAGGAACACCAGUGGCGAAGGCGGCCUACUGGGCACCAACUGACGCUGAGGCUCGAAAGUGUGGGUAGCAAACAGGAUUAGAUACCCUGGUAGUCCACACUGUAAACGAUGAUUACUAGGUGUUGGAGGAUUGACCCCUUCAGUGCCGCAGUUAACACAAUAAGUAAUCCACCUGGGGAGUACGACCGCAAGGUUGAAACUCAAAGGAAUUGACGGGGGCCCGCACAAGCAGUGGA